AGAGUUUGAUCCUGGCUCAGAGCGAACGCUGGCGGCAGGCUUAACACAUGCAAGUCGAACGGACCCUUCGGGGUUAGUGGCGGACGGGUGAGUAACACGUGGGAACGUGCCUUUAGGUUCGGAACAACACAGGGAAACUUGUGCUAAUACCGGAUGUGCCCUUCGGGGGAAAGAUUUAUCGCCUUUAGAGCGGCCCGCGUCUGAUUAGCUUGUUGGUGAGGUAAAGGCUCACCAAGGCUACGAUCAGUAGCUGGUCUGAGAGGAUGGCCAGCCACAUUGGGACUGAGACACGGCCCAAACUCCUACGGGAGGCAGCAGUGGGGAAUCUUGCGCAAUGGGCGAAAGCCUGACGCAGCCAUGCCGCGUGGAUGAUGAAGGUCUUAGGAUUGUAAAAUCCUUUCAGCGGGGACGAUAAUGACGGUACCCGCAGAAGAAGCCCCGGCUAACUUCGUGCCAGCAGCCGCGGUAAUACGAAGGGGGCUAGCGUUGCUCGGAUUUACUGGGCGUAAAGGGCGCGUAGGCGGACAGUUAAGUUGGGGGUGAAAGCCCGGGGCUCAACCUCGGAAUUGCCUUCAAUACUGGCUGUCUUGAGUGUGAGAGAGGUGUGUGGAACUCCGAGUGUAGAGGUGAAAUUCGUAGAUAUUCGGAAGAACACCAGUGGCGAAGGCGACACACUGGCUCACUACUGACGCUGAGGCGCGAAAGCGUGGGGAGCAAACAGGAUUAGAUACCCCUGUAGUCC
rnacentral:rRNA from 1 species